rnacentral:lncRNA from 1 species
AACGUCUGGAUGCAGCCCAUGACAGAACGCCCUGAAACCAUACUGCAAGAACAGGCAUCACAAUUCUUUCUGUUGGAAAGAAUUCUAGGGAGAGAAAUGAGAAAAUUCAGUGACUUAGUGCCAGUCUAGGGAACUACCACGAACGCAAUUCCAAACAGGGUGGAUGAGACAGCCAUUCAGCCUUCCAUUCCACCAAGGGUUAAAGUCACUGAGCUUUGUUCCUAGAAAGGUAGGGAGUUUUUUUUAAAAAAAGAUGGAAUUGGCUGGGGGAGAAGAACACAAUCUGGGCAUACAGCCAUUGCCCAUUCGGAGGAAUAAACCUUGUGUUAAGUGAGAGAGGCGAAGACGAAGGGACACAGGAUCCUUUUGGAAGCUUCGUCUGCACGCGAUGUGGAGCAGCGGGAAGGGGUCUCCAUGCAAAUAAAACGAAGGGCUGACAAGAUACACUUUCAUGCCAGGGGGAAAAAGCUGCAUCUGAGGACCUUCUCAAUAAUAGCCCCCAAGCUGAGGAAUGACCUCCCCUCUGAGGUGUGUCAACCAACAUCACUUUAUACAUUCCAGAAGUUUGUGUAGAUGCAUAUUUUUACCCACGCCUUUGUCUGAAGAGACUAUUCUCCUCCUCCUCCUCCUCCUCCUCCUCCUCCUCCUGGUUCUGUAUUUUUAAAAUUGUUGUAAAUUUCUAUUUUCAUGAAUGUAAUUAAUAGCAAAAUGAAGAAACAAACAGCACAGAUGUGAAUUUUGAGUGAAGAAGGGCCCUUUUGAGUUCCCAAGUUGCCUGAAUUUGCAGGUCUGUUUGCACUUUGUUGCUAGAGAUCAUCCAGAUACCCACGAGCAAAGUGCGUCAAUUAUCUCUGAAGAAAGAAGAAUUGCAAGGUUAUCUAUCCCACCCUACUGAAGAGGUAGAGACUAUCAUUUGGUACCUGCCUCUUUGCCUCUCUGGAACCUGGAAGCUUUGAGCGUACUCUUUCCUUCCUCCCACACCAAAGUUUAGUGUUGUCCUCAGAUCUUGGGACUGAGGAAACACCCUGCCUCCUUCUGCCUCCUGCUUCCUGCAACCAUAGUAAGAAGCCCCAGAUUCUCUGAAGAUCCCUGCCUUUUCCUCCUACCUCUAAGUCUUAUUUCCACACUGGUCUACAGCCUUGCUUAAGCUGAUUUCUCUGCUACGUUGCUUUGCUACUUUGCAGAGUUAAAUCACUGAGAAAAAGGGACCCUCCUUCUCCUUCCCUCACUACUUUCUGGCUACAAGGUACCCUUGGCUGGACAUCUGCUAGAGAUCCUAGGAUCUCUUUCCGCUGGUGCAAGAAGCCAAAUUCCUAUCUUUGCAACGUUGCCCAUUUCUUAUCUGUCUGCUUCCCAUCUCCACUUCAUGCCUGCUUUUGUCUUAAACUUACAUCCUCCAACUGUAUGGAUGUAAUAUCAUAUUUCCCAUAAUCCUCUGUUUCACAAUUCUCCAUUUAAACUUCACAAUUCUGACAUUUAUAAUUGGGCAGUUAUGUUCAUUUAGUAAAUAAAUAAUAAAUAACACAAGGCA